AAAACGACUCUCGGCAACGGAUAUCUCGGCUCUCGCAUCGAUGAAGAACGUAGCGAAAUGCGAUACUUGGUGUGAAUUGCAGAAUCCCGUGAACCAUCGAGUCUUUGAACGCAAGUUGCGCCCCAAGCCUUUGGGCCGAGGGCACGUCUGCCUGGGUGUCACGC
rnacentral:rRNA from 1 species